rnacentral:rRNA from 1 species
UACGUAGGGUGCAAGCGUUGUCCGGAAUUAUUGGGCGUAAAGAGCUCGUAGGCGGUUUGUUGCGUCGGCUGUGAAAUCCCGAGGCUCAACCUCGGGUCUGCAGUCGAUACGAGCAAACUAGAGUGUUGCAGGGGAGACUGGAAUUCCUGGUGUAGCGGUGAAAUGCGCAGAUAUCAGGAGGAACACCGGUGGCGAAGGCGGGUCUCUGGGCCGAUACUGACGUGAGGAGCGAAAGCGUGGGGGAGCGAACAGG